CAGUAGCCGCGGUAAUACGAAGGGUGCAAGCGUUAAUCGGAAUUACUGGGCGUAAAGCGUGCGUAGGCGGUGAGUUAAGUCUGCUGUGAAAUCCCCGGGCUCAACCUGGGAAUGGCAGUGGAUACUGGCUCGCUAGAGUGUGUCAGAGGAUGGUGGAAUUCCCGGUGUAGCGGUGAAAUGCGUAGAGAUCGGGAGGAACAUCAGUGGCGAAGGCGGCCAUCUGGGACAACACUGACGCUGAGGCACGAAAGCGUGGGGAUCAAACAGGAUUAGAUACCCCUGUAGUCCCUGUCUCUUAUAC
rnacentral:rRNA from 1 species